rnacentral:rRNA from 1 species
GUAGGUGGCAAGCGUUGUCCGGAAUUAUUGGGCGUAAAGCGCGCGCAGGCGGUCCUUUAAGUCUGAUGUGAAAGCCCACGGCUCAACCGUGGAGGGUCAUUGGAAACUGGGGGACUUGAGUACAGAAGAGGAAAGCGGAAUUCCAAGUGUAGCGGUGAAAUGCGUAGAGAUUUGGAGGAACACCAGUGGCGAAGGCGGCUUUCUGGUCUGUAACUGACGCUGAGGCGCGAAAGCGUGGGGAGCAAACAGGAUUAGAUACCCUGGUAGUCCACGCCGUAAACGAUGAGUGCUAAGUGUUAGGGGGUUUCCCGCCCCCCUUAGUGCUGCAGCUAACGCAUUAAGCACUCCGCCAGGGGAGUACGGCCGCAAGGCUG